CCAGUAACUGCGAGUGAAGAGGGAUCAGCUCAACGUGUGAAUCUGACAGGGUCUAACACCUUGUUCGACUUGUGCACUAUUGACACUGGCUCAGCGUACGAAUGCUAAAGGCGGAUGUCCGAUGAAACACGGCACCAUAGUGGGUCACAGUCCUAUACAUGCCUAUUGGCGUUUACGCAUAUGACCAGUGCUCGUCGAGUCGUGUAGUUUUGUAUUGCUGCACUAAUUGGGAGGUAGAGCCCUUCUAAAGCUAAAUAUGAUGGCAUGACCGAUAGCAAACAAGUACCGUGAGGGAAAGGUGAAAAGCAACCAUGCAGAAUGGGUUGAAAGAGUAGUGAAAGUGCUACCGGGAUAAGGGCUAGUGAUUGCAAGUGCAGACUGUGUGUGCUUCAGUGCUACACUAACUGCCGUCAUGCAUCGAUUGGGUUGGGGAGAACAGGUCGGUGGAGAUUUCAUUCGAUGAAGACCGUUGCACAAUACCCUUCGGCGGGCUGAGGUACGCGCUCCGCAAGG
rnacentral:rRNA from 1 species